rnacentral:rRNA from 1 species
AUGCAAGUCGAGCGGAGUUUAUCCUUCGGGGUAAACUUAGCGGCGGACGGGUGAGUAACACGUAGGCAACCUACCCUCUAGACUGGGAUAACUACCGGAAACGGUAGCUAAUACCGGAUAAUUCCUUGACCCACCUGGGAUAAGGAUGAAAGGCGGAGCAAUCUGCUGCUAGAGGAUGGGCCUGCGGCGCAUUAGCUAGUUGGUGGGGUAACGGCCUACCAAGGCGACGAUGCGUAGCCGACCUGAGAGGGUGAACGGCCACACUGGGACUGAGACACGGCCCAGACUCCUACGGGAGGCAGCAGUAGGGAAUCUUCCGCAAUGGGCGAAAGCCUGACGGAGCAACGCCGCGUGAGUGAUGAAGGUUUUCGGAUCGUAAAGCUCUGUUGCCAGGGAAGAACGUCCGGUAGAGUAACUGCUGCCGGAGUGACGGUACCUGAGAAGAAAGCCCCGGCUAACUACGUGCCAGCAGCCGCGGUAAUACGUAGGGGGCAAGCGUUGUCCGGAAUUAUUGGGCGUAAAAGCGCGCGCAGGCGGCUGCUUAAGUCUGGUGUUUAAACCUUGGGCUCAACCUGGGGUCGCACUGGAAACUGGGCAGCUUGAGUACAGAAGAGGAAAGUGGAAUUUCACGUGUAGCGGUGAAAUGCGUAGAGAUGUGGGAGGAACACCAGUGGCGAAAGCGACUUUUCUGGGCUGUUACUGACGCUGAGGCGCGAAAGCGUGGGGGAGCAAACAGGAUUAGAUACCCUGGUAGUCCACGCCCGUAAACCAUGAGUGCUAGGUGGUAGGGGGUUCGAUACC